UAUUGCUCAGUGGUAGAGCGCAUACUUUGCAUGCAUGUGGUCCUGUGUUCAAUCCCCAGUA
rnacentral:tRNA from 1 species